ACGCUCGACACCUACUGGAGGCAGCAGUGGGGAAUAUUGCACAAUGGGGGAAACCCUGACGCAGCGACGCCGCGUGAGCGAAGAAGUAUUUCGGUAUGUAAAGCUCUAUCAGCAGGGAAGAAAAUGACGGUACCUGACUAAGAAGCCCCGGCUAACUACGUACCAGCAGCCGCGGUAAUCUGAGCGGGCUGGCAAGGC
rnacentral:rRNA from 1 species